rnacentral:tRNA from 1 species
UUAGAAUAGCUUUGGAAGCAGAAUAACUGUUAAUUAUUUGAACUAGUUCGACUCUAGAUUUUAAU